rnacentral:rRNA from 1 species
AUUGAACGCUGGCGGCAGGCCUAACACAUGCAAGUCGAACGAGUGGCGGACGGGUGAGUAAUGUCUGGGAAACUGCCCGAUGGAGGGGGAUAACUACUGGAAACGGUAGCUAAUACCGCAUACCAUGGGAUGUGCCCAGAUGGGAUGAGCUAGUAGGGGGGGUAACGGCUCACCGAGGCGACGAUCCCCAGCUGGUCGGAGAGGAGGACCAGCCACACUGGAACUGAGACACGGUCCAGACUCCUACGGGAGGCAGCAGUGGGGAAUAUUGCACAAUGGGCGCAAGCCUGAUGCAGCCAUGCCGCGUGUAUGAAGAAGGCCUUCGGGUUGUAAAGUACUUUCGGCGAGGAGGCGUUACUCGCAGAAGAAGCACCGGCUAACUCCGUGCCAGCAGCCGCGGUAAUUC